GCUCUUUUGAUGUGCAUUCCACUGAAUCAACAUCCAAACUAUAGAUGUACCUGCGAAGAUGCCCACAGUUGUCAAAUUUCCAAUGGCCAUUGUUUGAUAUAUUAGGUAUUCAGUCAAGAAGUGCCCAAAAGCAUACAUGAAAGAUAAAAAGGUCGCCAAAUAAAGUGGCUUAUUAUCAAGAUUGAAUGCACAAAGAAAGCAAAGAGUGCAAGUCAGCAGUGUCCAAACUCCAAAUGUCCUCCCAUGAACUUCAGUCAUGGUGGUCUUGGNACUUCAGUCAUGGUGGUCUUGGAGAAGACCGCGAGCCUAAGAGCCCAAAUGUCGAAGAAACCGAAC
rnacentral:misc_RNA from 1 species